GCAGGGUGGCCACACAGUAAUCAGCACAAGUUAGAAUGUGGGCAACUCAGCAGUCGUUGCACAGGCACUUUGGUGACUCUAGAUAACCUUGGGCCGAUCGCACGUCCACGUGACGGCGACGACUCAUUCAGAGGUACUUUCUGCACCUGCUAUGGUGACCACGGGUAACGGGGUAUCAGGGUUCGAUUCCGGAGAGGGAGCCUGAGAAACGGCUACCACAUCCAAGGAAGGCAGCAGGCAUGCAAAUUACCUACUCUCGACGCUGGGGGAUAGUGAC